UGAGAUUUUGUGCAAUGCAUUACUUACGUGGCUUCGUCUUUCAGAGGAAAACCGGUCAGACAGGAGACUGGAAAGCAAAACCUGAAGCAGACUUUCAGGCUGGCAGUACAACAGCUUGCUAGGAGAGAUCAACAGAUCGUGGUGAGACUUUCUAUGAUGCUAAGAGUGAAGUGAUUUCCAGCCUACAGCAACCUUCUCAUGUCUGCAGUUUUUCAACAGUUGACCUUGUCAUCUACAAGCAGCCUUGUCUCCCUCACAUCUGACUUGUUCCUCUUCGCUUCUGGGCAACAAGU